rnacentral:rRNA from 1 species
AACGAACGCUGGCGGCAUGCCUAACACAUGCAAGUUGAACGAGAUCUUCGGGUCUAGUGGCGCACGGGUGCGUAACGCGUGGGAAUCUGCCCUUGGGUUCGGAAUAACAGUUGGAAACGACUGCUAAUACCGGAUGAUGACGAAAGUCCAAAGAUUUAUCGCCAGAGGAUGAGCCAGCGUAGGAUUAGCUAGUUGGUGUGGUAAAGGCGCACCAAGGCGGCGAUCCUUAGCUGGUCUGAGAGGAUGAUCAGCCACACUGGGACUGAGACACGGCCCAGACUCCUACGGGAGGGAGCAGUGGGGAAUAUUGGAAAAUGGGCGAAAGCCUGAUCCAGCAAGGCCGCGUGAGUGAUGUAGGCCUUAGGGUUGUAAAGCUCUUUUACCCGGGAUGAUAAUGACAGUACCGGGAGAAUAAGCUCCGGCUAACUACGUGCCAGCCGCCGCCGUAA